CAACAAACUCUUGUUGAGAUCUGCUCUAUGCCAGGCCUGGUGUUAAGAUGGGAAAGAACAAGCAGGAGACACAAAAAUAAUCAGAAAUGGUGCAUUUGCUGGUGAAGAACAGGAAGAGAUUCUGUCUGGACCCCUCAAAGAGUCUCUGUGUGCACUAACUGGCAGUCCCUUUGUGUUUGCAUGUUAUCUUGGAGUGGGGAUGCAUUAUGGCUACUGUGAAUAAAACACAAGAUGCAUUUUCCCUGAAAGAACUGCAGGACACUGGAACACUGACAGCUCUGCUUUGAAACCCCCCUGUCAGACGAGGUUGAUUUCUUCACUUCCCUCCAAGCUCUCACAGAUGUAGUGAAGAUUUUGAAAGGAG
rnacentral:lncRNA from 1 species